UACGGGGGGGGCAAGCGUUGUUCGGAAUUACUGGGCGUAAAGGGCUCGUAGGCGGCCAGCUAAGUCAGACGUGAAAUCCCUCGGCUUAACCGGGGAACUGCGUCUGAUACUGGAUGGCUUGAGUUUGGGAGAGGGAUGCGGAAUUCCAGGUGUAGCGGUGAAAUGCGUAGAUAUCUGGAGGAACACCGGUGGCGAAGGCGGCAUCCUGGACCAACACUGACGCUGAGGAGCGAAAGCGAGGGGAGCAAACGGG
rnacentral:rRNA from 1 species